UACGUAGGGACCGAGCGUUGUCCGGAUUCAUUGGGCGUAAAGAGCUCGUAGGCGGCUGUUCAAGUCGAACGUGAAAACUCGGGGCUCAACUCCGAGCCUGCGUUCGAUACUGGAUGGCUAGAGUCUGGUAGGGGGAUCUGGAAUUCCUGGUGUAGCGGUGGAAUGCGCAGAUAUCAGGAGGAACACCGGUGGCGAAGGCGGCAUCCUGGUCUGCGACUGACGCUGUGGCGCGAAAGCUAGGGGAGCGAACGGG
rnacentral:rRNA from 1 species